UAGAGGAGGGAUAGAUAAGGAAAGGGAUCUGAUGAGGAAUAAAUAAAUUAAUUUUCAAAGAAUAUUUAAACAUUAGAAAAUAUAUAAAGGGUACCAAUAAUAUUGAAAAAAAUAAAAAAGAUUUACAAAAGAAAAUUUUAUUUGCAGAGGAGGAUCUCACCCCAUUUAGAAAAAUAAGAUUAAUUUCUCUAUUCAAACAUAAUCAAGGCACCCAAAUAUGGGUAUUUACCUACCACCGUAUAUCUACAUUCUAAGUAAGGAAAUCUUCUUAGGAGCUCCAAAAGUUUCUUUAUAAAUACCAUCCACUCACUAUAAGCUGAGAACCAACAAGCAGUCAACAUCAGAGUGAGAAUUAUUAGCUUAUAAGUAUUGUUGGAGAUUUAGUAAGUAAUGGCUAAGAUUUCUUACACCUCCUUCGUCAUCCUUGCUAUCCUUGUCUUCUCAGCUGCAUCAUCAAUGGUGAUGAAAGUAGAUGCGCAACAGAAGGGGGACUGCCAGGUAAUGUUGUAUCCCGAUAACUGCGUGCCAGCAGCUUGUAACAAUCAGUGCAUCCAAAAGUUUAAAGGUGGAGAUGGAGAGUGUAUAGGGAUAAGUGUUGGACGUGAUGUACAUUUCGGAUGUUCUUGUGUGUACCCAUGCUAGAAUCCAACAAAGUAUUUCUCUACAUGUAUGAUGGUGGUCUAUUCAUCAUAUGACCAUUAAAAGUCAUGCAUACAUGCAUAUCAAUAAAUAAAUUAUUAUUGGGUUA